rnacentral:rRNA from 1 species
AUUGAACGCUGGCGGCAGGCCUAACACAUGCAAGUCGAGCGGCGCGGCGGUCGGGUGAGUAAUGCCUAGGAAUCUGCCUGGUAGUGGUGGCUAACGUCCGGAAAUGGGCGCUAAUACCGCAUACUAUCAGAUGAGCCUAGGUCGGAUUAGCUAGUUGGUGGGGUAAUGGCCUACCAGGGCGACGAUCCGUAACGGGUCUGAGAGGAUGAUCAGCCACACUGGAACUGAGACAGGGUCCAGAUUCCUACGGGAGGAAGAAGUGGGGAAUAUUGGAAAAUGGGCGAAAGCCUGAUCCAGCCAUGCCGCGUGUGUGAAGAAGGUCUUCGGAUUGUAAAGCACUUUAAGUUGGGAGGCGUUACCAGCAGAAUAAGCACCGGCUAACUUCGUGCCAGCAGCCGCGGUAAUAC